rnacentral:lncRNA from 1 species
UCAGGCUGUUAUUUAAUUAAGUGCAUGAAAUUUAAACAAUAAGUCUCAACCAAUUGAAUAUACUAUCUCCAGAUGCCAUACUCUAUCAUAUUGAAAUUCAAAACAGUCCAAAAGAAGGCUAAAACGGCCCAGAACAGUAAAAUCUUAAUUACAAUGAAUCUAUACACCAGAUCAAGGGACUACAUGUGAUAUAAUUGACUAACAAAACAAGGUCUACAGCAGAAGGCAAACAACAACUUCAUUUCAAGUUUUGAGUAGAGAAACUACAUCAUAUCAGUUUUUAAGGCGUGUACCUAAAGUUGAAAUACAAUUAAGAAGAAGGUGUCAGCAGUAGUAAUGAUCAAAGCAGUGAGAUUAAACGCAGCAACAGGAACAAUUCUAGAAUCAACACAGCUUCACAAAAACCCAGGAGUGGACUGGAGAGUUACAACACUAGCAUUUAUGCCAAAACAAAACUCAAAUAAAUCGAAGACACCCGGAAAUGAACCAGUAAACUUUAGGAAAAUCUUAGCUACUAGAAACAGCUAGAUAACUUGAAGAACCCAAAAAUAGCUUGAAACUCGAAUCCAGAAUUCUAGGGACUCAAAUUUCUUCUGAAAUUUCAAUGGAACUGUACAUGUUUUGGAUUUUUCUUUGUUGUUUCCUACUUUUUUUUGGUUUUUGAAGAUUUUUGGAAUUUGAAAUUCAAAUUUUGAUUUGAAACUUGUUGAGCAAUUUUGAGGGAAAUUUUCAGAU